UACAGAGGUCUCAAGCGUUGUUCGGAUUCAUUGGGCGUAAAGGGUGCGUAGGCGGCGCGGUAAGUCGGGUGUGAAAUCUCGGAGCUUAACUCCGAAACUGCAUUCGAUACUGCCGUGCUCGAGGGUCGGAGGGGGGACUGGAAUACUUGGUGUAGCAGUGAAAUGCGUAGAUAUCAAGUGGAACACCAGUGGCGAAGGCGAGUCCCUGGACGACUCCUGACACUGAGGCACGAAAGCUAGGGGAGCAAACAGG
rnacentral:rRNA from 1 species